UCCUCCAUGCCCACUUCCGUCCCUUUUAUCAAAAUCCAUUCAAUCUACCAAAGCUCAAAGCUUUCUUCAUCUUCAACUUUCUCACACUCACACGUUGCUGCAAUUCUAAGGGAUCGAAGUGGAAAUAAGAGUUCGAGCAUUUAUCUUUGCUCUCUUCUAUCAUUUGGUGGAAAGAGGAUGUAAGAGACUAUUAGUCACUUGCCCAUUGGUUUUAUGUGUUUCACCGCAACAAAGCAUCUGGAAAUUUCUCUAUCAUCAUCUUUAUUUCUGUUUGCCCUGCAAUUCUAGUCAGUUUCUUCAUUUUUUUCUCUGUCGAAUGUACAAUUUUCUUUAUUCUUUGCUCAUCACUGUACAAGACUGUUGGUAAUGAGUAUUUGUUAGUAUUUCCACCCCAAUUUAUUCAUGCAUACUUAGUAUUUUUCUGAUUACUCAUUUAGUCUGAUUUUUACUUGUUGGAGUUCUAAACUCCAUUCUUCUCUCUUGAGCCAAUUAUACUUUCUCUUAUCACAUUCAAUCAUUUAAGACACUCUAAAUUCUGAUAUACUGCUUUCUUGAGUGUUUUAUGUUGCCACUUUUUGCAAGCUUAUUGCGUCAAAUUUGUUUCAUUUUUAUGAGAUAAGCUGUUAUUAGUUUGUAGAUAUGGAGCCUCCUAAAAUGAUCUACUAAAUUCAUCGAGUUGUCCCAAGGGAUCAAAACAGACAAUUAUUAAUGGAAUUCUUCUCCGCUAUUAGGUUUCAUUACUUUAGUUUGCUUUGCAACUCUUUUUCUAUUAUGAUUACUCAAAGAAAAUUAAGUAUCAAUAUGUUACCCUUUCCUGUUGCUUCUAUUGUUCGGAAUCCUCAAGUUUGUUGUAUUAUUUUUUUGCGGAUUGCCAUAUCCUAGACUACAAUGUGUGUUCUUGACUAUUAGUAGUUGAUUUAAAAAAAAUUAUAAUUACCUCAAGGUCUUUGUUGAUUUUUUGUACAGAUGGAGUUUCCCAAAGGAAAACCCUUUUGGAUAGCCUCAAAGCUCUUGUGUAAAUCCCUCAAAUGACUCCAUUAUUGAUAUUGGUAUUGAUAUUUAUUAAUUCUGAGUCAAUCAUACAUGGGUCGUUCAUGUGUGCAGUUUUUCUUUCAUCCCCUCCUUAACUCUUAAUUUCAAAAUUUUCAUCCAUUUACUAGAACAUGGUUCCGGACCUUUCUGCUUGGCCCUCUUUCAAUUUGGAUCAUUCAAAUUUGUGAUUUAUGUUAAUGGCGGUCUUCAUGUAUUAUGUUCUGUUUGGAUAGAGUCAGGGCCUCUAUCUAAUAUAUUAGUGUGUAUUAUGUUUAUAAAUGUGUACUUUCUUUCCUCAUAUAAUUUAUUCCUCUCAUUUGUUUGUUUAUAGAUGUGUACUUUCUUUUCUCCAUCAUUUAUUCAUCUAAUAUGUUUUACCAGAAAUUUUAGCUAUUACCUUGGGUCCUUUGCACCAGUUUUUUUAAAAAGUUGGGUUGAAGAAUGAUGUCCAACCCUUUAAAAAGGAAAUCUCAACAUCUAUUUUGUCAAUCAUGCAUCACAAAGUUGCAACGAUAAUUAAGAAAAUCAAGAUGACUACCACCAAAGUAGUAAUGGGAUGCUUUACUAUUUCACCUUUAGGGAUAUCAACUUCUAUAAAUAUGUAAAUAUAGACUCUGCAUUUGCUAUUUCACAUUUUGCAAUAUCACCUUUUGUAAAUAUGUAAAUACAUAUAUAAACUGUGCAAUCAUAAGCGCAAUGCAUAUAGAAUGUGUGUAGUCGUUUACCAUGAAA